AAUCAACGCUGGCGGCGUGCCUAACACAUGCAAGUCGAACGAGAAAGUGGAGCAAUCCAUGAGUACAGUGGCGCACGGGUGAGUAACACGUGACUAACCUGCCUUCGAGUGGGGAAUAACCUCGGGAAACCGGGGCUAAUACCGCAUAACAUCAUCGGGUGAAAUUCCUGCUGAUCAAAAGUUUUUUGCUUGAAGAGGGGGUCGCGGCUGAUUAGCUAGUUGGUGGGGUAACGGCCCACCAAGGCAGUGAUCAGUAGCCGGCCUGAGAGGGCGCACGGCCACACUGGAACUGAAACACGGUCCAGACUCCUACGGGAGGCAGCAGUGGGGAAUUUUGCGCAAUGGGGGAAACCCUGACGCAGCAACGCCGCGUGGAGGAUGAAGUCCCUUGGGACGUAAACUCCUUUCGAUCGGGAAGAAUAAUGACGGUACCGGAAGAAGAAGCCCCGGCUAACUUCGUGCCAGCAGCCGCCGUAA
rnacentral:rRNA from 1 species